GAAGCGGACCGAGACGAUCGCCGGUCGAUGAUGGAACGGUCUUUGACCGUUCGGGAAUCGGCGGGAGGAAAGUCCGGGCUCCACAGGACGCCGUGGUGGAUAACGUCCACCGACCGCAAGGUCCGGGAAAGUGCAACAGAAAGCAUACCGCCGACCGUCGUAUGCUCCGUGGCGAAGGCGAUUGAAUUUAUCUGAAUUUAUUCGUUUUUUCGUUUCGAUGAUCGACAUUCCGAACGGGAAACCGCCCGGCUUCGGUAGGACGGGUUGUCAUACGGCGAGGUAAGGGUGAAAAGGUGAGGUAAGAGCUUACCAGCGGCCGGGUGACCGGUCGGCUCGGCAAACCCCGCGGGGAGCAAGGCCAAACAGGACCGGUGAGGUUGUCCGCCUCGUUUCAAGGUUCGGGUGGGCCGCUGGAGGAGUCGGGUGACCGGCUCCCUGGAUAAAUGAUCGUCGCCCGAAAACGGUUGUCAUGACCUUAUCGGGAACAGAACCCGGCUUACCGGUCCGCUUUUUCA
rnacentral:RNase_P_RNA from 1 species